AAACCAGUGCGGGGUGCUAUACAUGCAGUCGAACGAACUCUGGUAUUGAUUGGUGCUUGCAUCAUGAUUUACAUUUGAGUGAGUGGCGAACUGGUGAGUAACACGUGGGAAACCUGCCCAGAAGCGGGGGAUAACACCUGGAAACAGAUGCUAAUACCGCAUAACAACUUGGACCGCAUGGUCCGAGUUUGAAAGAUGGCUUCGGCUAUCACUUUUGGAUGGUCCCGCGGCGUAUUAGCUAGAUGGUGGGGUAACGGCUCACCAUGGCAAUGAUACGUAGCCGACCUGAGAGGGUAAUCGGCCACAUUGGGACUGAGACACGGCCCAAACUCCUACGGGAGGCAGCAGUAGGGAAUCUUCCACAAUGGACGAAAGUCUGAUGGAGCAACGCCGCGUGAGUGAAGAAGGGUUUCGGCUCGUAAAACUCUGUUGUUAAAGAAGAACAUAUCUGAGAGUAACUGUUCAGAUAUUGACGGUAUUUAACCAGAAAGCCACGGCUAACUACGUGCCAGCAGCCGCGGUAAUACGUAGGUGGCAAGCGUUGUCCGGAUUUAUUGGGCGUAAAGCGAGCGCAGGCGGUUUUUUAAGUCUGAUGUGAAAGCCUUCGGCUCAACCGAAGAAGUGCAUCGGAAACUGGGAAACUUGAGUGCAGAAGAGGACAGUGGAACUCCAUGUGUAGCGGUGAAAUGCGUAGAUAUAUGGAAGAACACCAGUGGCGAAGGCGGCUGUCUGGUCUGUAACUGACGCUGAGGCUCGAAAGUAUGGGUAGCAAACAGGAUUAGAUACCCUGGUAGUCCAUACCGUAAACGAUGAAUGCUAAGUGUUGGAGGGUUUCCGCCCUUCAGUGCUGCAGCUAACGCAUUAAGCAUUCCGCCUGGGGAGUACGGCCGCAAGGCUGAAACUCAAAGGAAUUG
rnacentral:rRNA from 1 species